rnacentral:lncRNA from 1 species
AGAAAAAAUAUAUAUAAAGCGGCCCGAGAAAACUUGGUGCUUAUUUCUUGACAUUAAAAACAAUACAAGUUUGAACAUUGAAAUUUAGCAUCCAUUUUGGUUGUUUCCCACUACAUGACGGCUACAGAGAGAGAGGGAGAGAGAGAGAGAGGAGCAGGAAUAAAAUCCCUUUUGAGAUUCAAUUCCCUUUGUUUUGAAAACCUCACUUUUUGUUGGACUUAUAUCAAAUGCUCUUGCCUUCAGAAAAUCUGUUAAGGUAUCAAGGAAAAAAAAAUGUAAGAAUAAUUCACAUUCGGAGGUAAAAAGUUAAGCCCUUUUCAUCAAGUAUGAAAUAAGUACUCAACUGAUUUUGCUGCUGUUGAGUUCCAUAUAGUGAAGACCGGAAGAAACCAUAAUGUUCCUCAUAUGCAGAUCCCC